CGCGUAGGCGGUGGGGUAAGCGUGUGGUGAAAGUCCGGGGCUCAACCCCGGAUCGGCCGUGCGAACUGCUUCACUUGAGCACUGUAGAGGCAGGUGGAAUUCCGGGUGUAGCGGUGGAAUGCGUAGAGAUCCGGAAGAACACCGGUGGCGAAGGCGGCCUGCUGGGCAGUGGCUGACGCUGAGGCGCGACAGCGUGGGGAGCAAACA
rnacentral:rRNA from 1 species